GAAAAACAGAACAAUGUAAAAUUUUUUCAAAAUCUCAACCUUAAACCUUAUCACGCUGGUUCAACGGAUUCAUUUAUCUCAGUAUCUUUGUACAUCCUCAAAAAACGAAAAAUUUCACGGAAUUAAACCCGUAAUCCAUAUUUAGAACAUGACGCAGUUCGGCUAAUUUAAUUAAACGUCGGCCACAAUUUACAAAACGUUACAGUUUCAGUUUCCUGGCCUUUCGUUUUGGUGGCCCUUUCCCAUGAUCUCUUCAGCUGGAGCCUUCUACCGGCAACGAACAUUCAAUAAAACACAGAUUUUAAUAGGCUGAAACAAUUAACUCGGAUGAGUAUGCUCUAGGAAAGUGGACAAAGAUCUUUACGAUCUUACGAUCUCCUAGGAAACAUCUGCAUUUGUCAAGCGACUCUAUUACUGCUUGAAUCCUGGGCAUUAAGCGACAGACGCGUUUACAUUUAAUUAGCGACAGAUGGAAGAAUUUUAUCUUCUGUGUAUUCUACUCGCAAAAGAAAGUGUUUUGUUGCGGGAUAGGCCAGUUACCUGGUGAUUAUUCCACACUUUAAAACCUAAUAACCUAUUGAGGUCCUUUAACCUGGACCGUUAAAAUUUUCGUUCAAAAGGUAAAAUUUUAUGGUUUCAUAUAAUGUACGUAUUGAAAGCAUUGUAUUGUGCAGCUCGUAUUGUAUGCUGGUACAAGCAAUAAAUUGAUAAAGACGUUUUAAAGUUUUGUUUAUUAACAAAUUUACGGCUGUACCGAUACUUUCUCCAUGUAUUCAUUCUCUUUCAUUUUUACAGGUACAAGGGAUAUGCAUUUGAAUAUAUUGUGGUAUUUAAAUCUUUUCAUAGAAUUUAUGUGAGAAUUUUAGAAGAGGUUAAGAAAAUUUUGAAUUUGAGAUUUUCCAUUGACUUGUGAAAGUUCUUUCGGGAUUAAGCGACUAAUUGUACUGUUGUACAAAUGAUUAACAAUGGCACGGCAUUUAAAUAUUUACAAAAAAAAGAAAUUAAAAACAUAACAGGAAUUUAUUGUUGCAUAACAAUAAAAGUUGUUCUCAAUUGUUAUGGCUAACUUUUACAAAUUACAACAUAAACCUUUAUCUUAUCUUUUUUAUAAUUUAAUUUCCAGAUCGUCGAAUUCGAUAUACUUUUCUACAUCGUUGCAUUACUCUACUCUUCCACUCGGCUGAGAGCGCAUUUUUCACGGAAUCGAAUCGACAAAGGAAUAUCGAUUAAUCGGCAAAAUCGCGAUUGAUAUUGCGAUAACGAUAUUGGAAUCGAAGGAAAAAGAAAUAUUGAAUCCCUUGUCACGUAUUUGGGACAUCGAUAGAUGAUAAUGGCGACACGUUGAUCGAACAAUGGCUGGGGACGAAAAUAAAUCAAUUCACGAUGCGAAGAAGUGAAAGAACGCAUGCGGCGGAAAUAAUUUAUUAAUUAUUCCGCGUAAAUCGCGGCGAAAAAAGGGCAUAAACACUGGGUGUCCUUUCACUCCAGAAACACCUUGACAUUUUGUGGCAUGGGACGGGAUGAUUUCUCGCGUCGGAAGACGAUGGAAAGUCGUCAACUUGCUUCUCGAACAACACGUCCCGGAAUUCUACCUCAAUGUAAAUUGCAUGUCUAAUUAGCGUCUAUCAUUCCCCCGAUUCAUUCCUUAAUUUGUUGCCUAAGUAUAUAGUGGUGUACACGUAGAAUAUCUACUUAGAUUUGUUCAAUUUUCUGCAUCCUCAUCAUCAUCAUCAUCAUCAUCAUCAUCAUAUAUAUAUAUAUUGUAUAUGGAAGAACACGCGCGUUACAUUAAUCGCCAUUUUUCCAUCGUACCUGACAAUCGUCGUAUCAUUUUUCCAAGCAUUCAAUUAGGAAAUAAUGAUUGAUCGACACGCACUACACGAACGGAAUAAAAUUCCACUCGUAAUGUUUACAGUUUGAUUUAGUUUUUAUUAGAACAUUAAGUAAGUGUCGGUGUAUAUUUGUUCGUAUAGAUGAAGCUAUAUCCGCAUUGCUAAACAUUAUUAUUAUUAUUAUUAUUUUGCUACAAAGUGUUAUUCAUCCUGCAAAAAAAUCUCGAUAUUAAUAAUGCUCGUAUCGGAAUUCGUCGAAAAAAUUAAAAAAAAAAAAAAAAAGGAAUUUUCGUUUUUAUACCUUGAAAAUGUAGGAUUAUAUUCAAGAAACUUAGGUUUCUUGGUUGAGAUGUUAUCCAACAGAAUGCUGACAGAAAUUUAUUAGCUAUUAACGAAAUAUUACGACGAAAAAGAACGAGACUGGCUCUAUAAUAAUUUUAUAAAGCGAUUAAAAUGUAUAUUAAUGGCUAGAUCAUUAUCAGACAAUUAGUCCUUGUUGGUGGACGAUCGUUCGGCUGAUUGGUUUGUCAAUAAAUAAAUUAUAUUUCUUCUUA
rnacentral:lncRNA from 1 species